rfam:Lactobacillus manihotivorans DSM 13343 = JCM 12514 strain DSM 13343 NODE_7, whole genome shotgun sequence.
AAUUCACUUGUAUAAUAGAUUACGCAGGAAGUUUUAAGGGCGGUGGCUGUCUUUUCCCUUGCGAGGUGAGGCCCAUGGGAACAUGGAAUAAUCUUCAGGAAGGUUUCACAGUCAAUGAGCGUCUUCCAGACACUCUCGUUGAUGUUGCUGUUUGCAAUGUUUAUUUUAGCGUUGCUAACAUGCAUC